rnacentral:rRNA from 1 species
AUUGAGCGCUGGCGGCAUGCCUUACACAUGCAAGUCGAACGGUAACAGGUCUUCGGAUGCUGACGAGUGGCGAACGGGUGAGUAAUACAUCGGAACGUGCCCGAUCGUGGGGGAUAACGAAGCGAAAGCUUUGCUAAUACCGCAUAAGAUCUAAGGAUGAAAGCAGGGGACCGCAAGGCCUUGCGCGAACGGAGCGGCCGAUGGCAGAUUAGGUAGUUGGUGGGAUAAAAGCUUACCAAGCCGACGAUCUGUAGCUGGUCUGAGAGGACGACCAGCCACACUGGGACUGGGACACGGCCCAGACUCCUACGGGAGGCAGCAGUGGGGAAUUUUGGACAAUGGGCGCAAGCCUGAUCCAGCCAUGCCGCGUGCAGGAUGAAGGCCUUCGGGUUGUAAACUGCUUUUGUACGGAACGAAAAGACUCUGGUUAAUACCUGGGGUUCAUGACGGUACCGUAAGAAUAAGCACCGGCUAACUACGUGCCAGCCGCCGCAGUAAAAC